rnacentral:lncRNA from 1 species
UUCAAUAUACUAACUAAAGCUAGAAAGCAACUCCUACAACUACCGCCGCCGCCGUGAACAGUGGCCACAGACGGUGGUCCUCCACUGCCUAAAAUCCAAAAUCGCCAAAACGCAACCAAACUCAAUUCCAUGCAUAUACAGAGGUAGAGCUCGAAAAAAUGGACAAAGUUUCAUACCUUGAUCGAAACCAAUCGCCGCCAGAAAACGAAGAACACGAUCGGAAAACUUAGAAACUCCUCCUCUUAGAUUCUCCCUCACCUGACCUCGUCUCGACAAGCUGAAGAUACAAGAAUGUCGAGGAUGAGGAGAUGAAGCUAUCCAUACCAGUGAGAGGCGUCGACGCUGCCGGAAUCGGAGACUCGCCGGCAACCCAGCCUCUCCUUCUCCACUUCGAAUCUCUCACUCCAGACUUCUUAUCUGAAAAUCAAGGGCUUGGGCAUGACCACGAGAACGAGAGGAAGCUGCCGCUACCAUUCUUUCUCCUCGCCGUCGCCGGAAAACGGAGAACCAGUCGGGUUGACCCGUCCACUCCAUUCGGGUCGAGAAUGACCCGUCUGGGUCUGAAUUCUUUCUUCCUCCCCCCUUCUCCCGAACCUUCCUUUCCUCUUUUAAUUUUUUUUUUUGCUUAGGUCGGUUUUACCGAUCCCUCUAGAACCUUCCUCUCUCUUCUUAUACCCUUUACCGAAAUAGAAACUUUCCAUUUUUAGACCAUAAUUUUCUCAUACGAACUCCGAUUUGAGCGUGCCACGUGUCCACGAACUCGUAUUAACGUCCUCUACGACUUCUAUGAAGGAAGUUCUCCCAAAUUAUCAACUUAAGAAAAAGUCAACUUUUUGGGUCCUUUACGGUAAAACGGUUACAAGAAACAAUAAUUGAAAAUUUACUGUAAACUUCAUAAAUUCACAGAACAUAGCUCAUCGCUCCGGAAAAUAAUCCGGACAUACCGGUGAGCUCAUAUAAACGUGUACCACGACUUCGGACUUUUAAAUCCACUAUUUACCCAUUUCCAGAAAAGCUCGAAAACAACCUCGAGCAAUCACUAUUUAAAUCUC